GCUGAGCUCUGUAGCGAGAGCUUGUGACCCAAGCGGGAGCAACAAGAUGCGGGAACAACCGUGGUGCAUCCCUUG
rnacentral:SRP_RNA from 1 species